rnacentral:rRNA from 1 species
GACGAACGCUGGCGGCGUGCCUAAUACAUGCAAGUAGAACGCUGAAGGAGGAGCUUGCUUCUCUGGAUGAGUUGCGAACGGGUGAGUAACGCGUAGGUAACCUGCCUGGUAGCGGGGGAUAACUAUUGGAAACGAUAGCUAAUACCGCAUAAUAGUAGAUGUCGCAUGACAUUUGCUUAAAAGGUGCAAUUGCAUCACUACCAGAUGGACCUGCGUUGUAUUAGCUAGUUGGUGAGGUAACGGCUCACCAAGGCAACGAUACAUAGCCGACCUGAGAGGGUGAUCGGCCACACUGGGACUGAGACACGGCCCAGACUCCUACGGGAGGCAGCAGUAGGGAAUCUGCGGCAAUGGACGGAAGUCUGACCGAGCAACGCCGCGUGAGUGAAGAAGGUUGUCGGAUCGUAAAGCUCUGUUGUAAGAGAAGAACGAGUGUGAGAGUGGAAAGUUCACACUGUGACGGUAUCUUACCAGAAAGGGACGGCUAACUACGUG